AAAUAAGUCAAAAUAAUUUAAUAAUAAAUUAAUUAAAUGGCGACAUUAUCAUCAUAACCGAUUGAGCGAUCGUAUAUAUGAAUAUGUCACGAACAAGUACGAAACUUGAUUCGAAAAAAGUUAAUUCAGAAUUAUUUACAUUGACAUAUGGAGCACUAGUAGCUCAAUUAUUAAAAGAUUAUGAAAAUAUAGAAGACGUAAAUAAACAAUUAGAAAGAAUGGGUUAUAAUAUGGGUAUUCGUUUAAUAGAAGAUUUCUUAGCUCGAACUGGAUCUGGACGAUGUUAUGAUUUUCGGGAUACGGCCGAGAAAAUACAAACUGGUUUCAAAAUAUUUUUGGGAAUAACACCAACAAUUACAAAUUGGAGUGCUGCUGGUGAUGAAUUUUCUUUAUGUUUUGAAGCAAAUCCAUUAACAGAAUUUGUUGAAUUACCAGAUCAUUGUUUAAACUUAAAAUAUUGUAAUGUAUUAAUUGGAGUAUUAAGAGGUGCUUGUGAAAUGGUACAAAUGGAAAUUGCUUGUUGGUUUGUACAAGACCAACUAAAAAAUGAUAAUGUAACUGAAUUGCGUGUUAAAUUUAUUAAAAGAUUAGAAGAUGCUAUUCCAGCAGGUGAAGAUUAAAUUUUGUGUUAUUAAAGGUGAUGGAAGUGAAGUGCAAAUAUUGUAGAAAAAAUCUUUUUGAUAAAGAAUGUAUUUCUUUAUUUACUUCUCAUAAUGAAAUAAAAAAAAAUCUUACUGAUAUUGGAUGUGAAAUAAAUAAUUUUGAAUCUUGUUCAUAUAUAUCAAUGGAAAAAUUACCUAAAUGGAUUGAACAUACUAUAAAUCAAGAAUCUUGGACAAAAGGUAGACUACAUUGUCCAAAUUGUAAUAAUCGAAUAGGUACAUUUAAUUUCAUAAAUGAAUUAAAAUGUAAUUGUAGUAAAUUUAUAACAUUUCCAAUCAAAAUAA